CAUUAUUGAAAUAAACCUGAUGGGUUGUUGCUGGUUCUCUAGGGAGCAUGUGCACACCUUGUCAUCUUUAUAUCUCCACCUGUGCACCUUUUGUAGACCCUGGAUAUCUCUUCCAUGGUCUAUGUUGCUUCUUCAYGCACCCCAAUGUAUGUUAACAGAAUGUUUGUGAAUGUAAAAUCUAUACAACUUUCAGCAACGGAUCUCUUGGCUCUCGCAUCGAUGAAGAACGCAGCGAAAUGCGAUAAGUAAUGUGAAUUGCAGAAUUCAGUGAAUCAUCGAAUCUUUGAACGCACCUUGCGCUCCUUGGUAUUCCGAGGAGCAUGCCUGUUUGAGUGUCAUUAAUAUAUAUAUCAACCACUUCUUGUUGAGUGGCUUGGAUGUGGGGGGUUUGCUGGCCUCUUGAAGGGUCAGCUCCCCUGAAAUGCAUUAGCAGAACCAACCUGUUCAAUGGUGUGAUAACUAUCUACGCUAUCGAAAGGGUAAGGCAGUUCAGCUCCCUAACCGUCCCUUGGACAAUUUAUCAUUUAUGUGACCUCAAAUCAGGUAGGACUACCCGCUGAACUUAAGCAUAUCA
rnacentral:rRNA from 1 species